AAGCGAGACUGUAAGUAACAAAAUUGAAACACCGAAUUUUGUUGUUAUUAUUGUACGAACUCUUUUGCAUAUAGUAGUACGUAGACAGCUUAUAGAUAAAAUCUGUCAGUCUGGACUAGCCUUAACGUGAACAGGAGAUUACAGUUAGCAGCGAACGAUUUCUCGGUAGGACCGAUAAACAGAGAGAGCGAACUGUUCUGUAGUUUUAUCUUCGCGAACGGUUUUAGUGGCACCACAGUUGUCUGAGAUAAUCGCGUAUUAAAUGAAACCGGACUGAUUGGUUGAACCCCGGCGCAUAGCAAUUAAGGGAACUUUACUUUGUAAAAAAAUUUAUUGAUUAUACAGUUAGGCAAAUUCUGUUAACUCGUGAAUUGGAUGAUUCCUUGACCGCCGAUAUCCAAUAAAAACCCGAGUAAAGGGUAAUUUUAAUGGGUCCGGAGCGAUUCGUUCGACGAUAAAUACAAUUGUGAUUUCAUUUGCAUUUGUGAGGGUAUUACUGUAUGAUUUCACGCAAGGAUCGCUUGGUAAACGAAGAAGGCAACUAGAAAUCAGGUUUCCAGGAGAAAUAUAUGAAAGGCCGGUCUUAUUAUAAUACAGACUAAACGCAUAUGGUGAUUAUAAUACGUGUAUACACUUAUUAACACGUGCAAACGCGAUAUAUUUAACGAUGAUAUCUGUAGUUAAUGAAAUACUUGUAGCAUAAAACUUACGUUACCCAGAUGAACAAUAAUAUAAUACCAUUUUUAAGUUUUUCAUUCC